UUUUAUGAGAGUUUGAUCCUGGCUCAGGACGAACGCUGGCGGCGUGCCUAAUACAUGCAAGUAGAACGCUGAAGUCUGGUGCUUGCACUAGACGGAUGAGUUGCGAACGGG
rnacentral:rRNA from 1 species